CUUUCUUUAAACCAUUCUGGGUGAGAACAGCUAGCAUCUGGACUCGCCAGAUAGCAAAGCUGAUUUUACCAUCAAAUUUCUCAAUAUCCAAUUUUGACAUUAUUGAACAAUAGAUCCUGGUUGAAUUAUCGAAAAGCUUUGAUGCCAAUUUGUAGGGAUAUCGUGUGCGGAAGCGUAAUAAUUUCAACCAAAGAUUAUGAGAAAUUAAAGUAACAAGUAAAGUGAGAAUGAUACCAGAAA
rnacentral:lncRNA from 1 species